ACUUUCCCUCUGAGCAGCUUGGAUGUGCCACCACCAUCCCCUGGCAUCUUAAGGGGAAAGGGGGAUGAGCUCUCACAGAGGGUCAGUGGAAUGGAUGGAGAAUGGCUGGAUAGACAGAGGAUAGAUGGUGGAGAUGAUGGAUAGAUGCAUAGAUGGAGAAGCCCGGCAUGGCUUGACACCAACAAAGCUCAGAUGAACCUACGCUGGAUGUUAUCUACGCCCCAAAAAGUCCUUAGGAAAAGAUUUCACAGUCCUGGUGAUUUCCAACCUUGAGAGAGAUGUCACCUUUGCAGUUCAUAAUGCUCCUGGUAAGUUGCACGCUGCUGUUCCUCUUCCUGAUUCUGUGCUGGAUGUCAGGCAGCAGGGCCAGCUGAGGUCAAGCAGCAAUAGCAGGAUCCUCCUUCUGCUCAUCCAAACAACCUCUGGACGGCCUCACCACGUGGAGACUUCCAAAGCCAGCCCAGGAGGAAAACCCAUGUGUUCUGAAUCACUUACCAGUACAGGUCCAAAAUGGGAACAAAGGCCUCCCAGCCUCCAUCCUGCACAUGAACUACUGUUUGCAUUUCCAUGUCCUGCUCUCCUGAAGGGCAUCUGCAUAACUUCACCCAGCUCCCAAGGAGAGACCACAAAGCAACAACAACAAAAUAAAGACCACACCUUUUCCAAUC
rnacentral:lncRNA from 7 species